rnacentral:rRNA from 1 species
GUAGGUGGCAAGCGUUGUCCGGGAAUUAUUGGGCGUAAAGCGCGCGCAGGCGGUUCUUUGAGUCUGAUGUGAAAGCCCACGGGCUCAACCGUGGAGGGUCAUUGGAAACUGGAGAACUUGAGUACAGAAGAGGAAAGCGGAAUUCCACGUGUAGCGGUGAAAUGCGUAGAGAUGUGGAGGAACACCAGUGGCGAAGGCGGCUUUCUGGUCUGUAACUGACGCUGAGGCGCGAAAGCGUGGGGAGCAAACAGGAUUAGAUACCCUGGUAGUCCACGCCGUAAACGAUGAGUGCUAAGUGUUAGGGGGUUUCCGCCCCUUAGUGCUGCAGCUAACGCAUUAAGCACUCCGCCUGGGGAGUACGGCCGCAAGGCUG